rnacentral:rRNA from 1 species
GAGAUAGAGUCUUCCCCUUCGGGGGACAAAGUGACAGGUGGUGCAUGGUUGUCGUCAGCUCGUGUCGUGAGAUGUUGGGUUAAGUCCCGCAACGAGCGCAACCCUUAAGCUUAGUUGCCAGCAUUAAGUUGGGCACUCUAAGUUGACUGCCGGUGACAAACCGGAGGAAGGUGGGGAUGACGUCAAAUCAUCAUGCCCCUUAUGAUUUGGGCUACACACGUGCUACAAUGGACAAUACAAAGGGCAGCUAAACCGCGAGGUCAUGCAAAUCCCAUAAAGUUGUUCUCAGUUCGGAUUGUAGUCUGCAACUCGACUACAUGAAGCUGGAGUCGCUAGUAAUCGUAGAUCAGCAUGCUACGGUGAAUACGUUCCCGGGUCUUGUACACACCGCCCGUCACACCACGAGAGUCUGUAACACCCGAAGCCGGUGGAGUAACCAUUUAUGGAGCUAGCCGUCGAAGGUGGGACAAAUGAUUGGGGUGAAGUCGUAACAAGGUAGCCGUAUCGGAA